ACUGUUCCUAGAGGCAUUGCGGGUGUGGCUGCUGUGUCACAUGGGCAUCAGUAGGUGACAGAGAGGAGAGAGGCAAGGUCUAUUCUCACUGGUCUGACCUGUGAACAUCUGAAUGAUUAGUAGCCUAACAUU
ensembl:snoRNA LOC120096803 small nucleolar RNA SNORA17